UAACAAUCCAGAGAAAAGAAAAAACACUUACUAGAAUGAGCUUGAAACCAAAGUUUCUCAAUCUGGACUCUGAACAAUUUGGGUGAACCAAGGGAGAAGAACCAUGCUUCCCCUUCCCCAAACAAUACUCACUUCUUCUACCCUCAUACCUGGCUAUAUACACGGGAGAAUGACACCUAGAGCCCCCUCUAGUGCCCAGUAGUGGCAUAACACCACAAAGAAAAACAGGAACCAAACUCUGGGUGGUUACAACAUGAAUGUUUUGUCAUUGAUUUUUCAAUGAUAGUGGAGAUGUGGCACUGUGCAUCAAUUUCGAGAGCACCAAACUUCAGCUGGACAAGUUUGAAUAUUCCACUCAGCAGUUCUGUCCUCUGUAUGUAGGCAUGUGCAUUCAGACCCUUUGUGCUGAUGGUUUUCACUAGCUGGAGGAGGUUGUUGGAGUCCUCACCACAAGCAAAAUUUGCAAAGUUCCACUUUCAGUAUUUUCCCCCUCACAGAUGGAUCUGCAUGGAGCCAUUCAGGACAAGGGUUGAGAACAAAUGCGCAUGUUGCCUUCAAUGAAGGACAGAUGUCGAGCAAUGAAUCGAUCCACCCGAAUCGGCAAGUUUUCAUGCUUGAAAAGGCCAUGUUUAAUGUUUUUGAACUCUGCUUCAACAUUGGCUGAACUUGCGAUGAUGUUGGUGCUUCGGAAGUGAGGGAUCAUUACCCCUGUCCAAAGUGGUCCUCACCCUCUACAUCUGGAAUGAUGACACACUCUUCUGCAAUUCGGCCUUUCAG